GACGAACGCUGGCGGUGUGCUUCACACAUGCAAGUCGAACGAGGUAGCAAUACCUAGUGGCGGACGGGUGAGUAACGCGUGGGAAUCUGCCUUUAGAUGGGGGAUAACGGGUCGAAAGACUCGCUAAUACCGCAUAUGACGAAAGUUGAAAGGAGUAAUCCGUCUAAAGAUGAGCCCGCGUCCGAUUAGCUAGUUGGUAGAGUAAAAGCCUACCAAGGCGACGAUCGGUAGCUGGUCUGAGAGGAUGAUCAGCCACAAUGGGACUAGAGACACGGCCCAUACUCCUACGGGAGGCAGCAGUGGGAAUUUUACGCAAUGGGCGAAGGCCUGACGUAGCGACACCGCGUGAGCGAAGAAGCCCCUUGGGGUGUAAAGCGUCUGUCAGCUGGAACGAAAAAAUAGACGGUACCAGCAGAGGAAGCAUCGGCUAACUACGUGCCAGCAGCCGCGGUAAU
rnacentral:rRNA from 1 species